rnacentral:rRNA from 1 species
AGAGUUUGAUCCUGGCUCAGAUUGAACGCUGGCGGAAUGCUUUACACAUGCAAGUCGAACGGCAGCACGGAGAGCUUGCUCUCUGGUGGCGAGUGGCGAACGGGUGAGUAAUAUAUCGGAACGUGUCCAAUAAUGGGGGAUAACGAGUCGAAAGAUUCGCUAAUACCGCAUACGCCCUACGGGGGAAAGCAGGGGAUCGUAAGACCUUGCGUUAAUGGAGCGGCCGAUAUCUGAUUAGCUUGUUGGUGAGGUAAAGGCUCACCAAGGCGACGAUCAGUAGCUGGUUUGAGAGAACGACCAGCCACACUGGAACUGAGACACGGUCCAGACUCCUACGGGAGGCAGCAGUGGGGAAUUUUGGACAAUGGGGGCAACCCUGAUCCAGCCAUUCCGCGUGAGUGAAGAAGGCCUUCGGGUUGUAAAGCUCUUUCGCAAGGGAAGAAAACUUAUGAUCGAAUAAAUCAUGAGGUUGACGGUACCUUGAUAAGAAGCACCGGCUAACUACGUGCCAGCAGCCGCGGUAAUACGUAGGGUGCGAGCGUUAAUCGGAAUUACUGGGCGUAAAGCGUGCGCAGGCGGUUUUGUAAGUCGGAUGUGAAAUCCCCGGGCUCAACCUGGGAACUGCGUUCGAAACUGCAAGGCUAGAGUGUGUCAGAGGGGGGUAGAAUUCCACGUGUAGCAGUGAAAUGCGUAGAGAUGUGGAGGAAUACCAAUGGCGAAGGCAGCCCCCUGGGAUAACACUGACGCUCAUGCACGAAAGCGUGGGGAGCAAACAGGAUUAGAUACCCUGGUAGUCCACGCCCUAAACGAUGUCAA